AAACUUUAAUUAAACCUUAAUCAAAUUCUAGAUCAAAUCUUAAUAAAAUUCUAAUAAAAUCCUAAAUCCUAGAGAAAUCCUAGGAAAAUCCUAAUCAAUUUCUAGUCAAGUUCUAAACCAAAUCCCAAGAAAAUCCUAAUCCUAAUAAAAUCCUAGACCAAAUCCUAAGCCUUUAUCAAAUUGUAGAUAAAUCCUAAAUCAAAUUCUAUAGUAAAAUAGAAUCUCAACAAUUAAUGAUCAAAUUAUUGAUAUCAACUAAAAAUUUUUACACCUCUUAAUAUCUUAGUUAAAAACAAGUAUAAUAAAGAUGAAAUCAAUUGCACUUAUUAAUUGAAAGAAAUGUAAGAUAAUCCAAUCAAGUGUUGGACAGCCUCCUAUUUCAAUUUAAAUGCUGAACUUCUAGUACUAAUAUCUCAUUCUUGAACUAUUGAAUUACUUACAAAUUUCAAUUAAAUAU
rnacentral:lncRNA from 1 species